AUCUAGUCCGGAAGGGACGACACACCGGUAGCGGUGAGGGACGCAUGGGGAGAAUCGCCGCAGGGGCCGUCCACCGGCGCAACGCUGAACUAAAAAGAGCAGUGUUCGAUCACAACUAUGGAAUUGGCCAGGUUUUGAUGGCGAGCUAGGAACCUGCAUUGAGGCAACCCGCCUGGAAGCUUGAAGCCCAGAUGAACUGAUGAGCUGAUGAGCUGUCAUUCACCCGCUCUGCUCUGAUGGGGCCGGUAGGAGGCUUUGCAGCCGUCCUUUUCCUUUUGUCCCUCUUUGGCCUUCAUAGAAACUUCACUCCUUUCCUCCACCCCUGACCCUCUGGACACCCGAUUACUGGGCCAUUGGACCGUUGUAUGUUUUGGGACUCUCAGUACAUCAGAUGAAUGCAUUUUGUAAAUUGAGCUCAUUGAAAUGUGUAUUGUAAAUUAGUGUUGUGUAUUUGUAUUGUUCUGUUGUGUACUUUAUAAUAUAUGGUACCCCCACAGCUGCAAAUUGUGUGCUCACCUCUUCCUCUCACUCCCAGAGCCCAAAUCUGGAUUUUCUGAUUCUAGCCUAGAUCUUACUC